UACAGAGGUCUCAAGCGUUGUUCGGAUUCAUUGGGCGUAAAGGGUGCGUAGGUGGCGCCGGUAAGUCGGGUGUGAAAUUUCGGAGGCUUAACUCGAAACUGCAUUCGAUACUGCCGUGCUUGAGGACUGGAGAGGAGACUGGAAUUUACGGUGUAGCAGUGAAAUGCGUAGAUAUCGUAAGGAAGACCAGUGGCGAAGGCGGGUCUCUGGACAGUUCCUGACGC
rnacentral:rRNA from 1 species